rnacentral:tRNA from 1 species
GGCCGCGUGGCGCAAUGGAUAGCGCGUAUGCCUACGGAGCAUGAGGUUCCAGGUUCGACCCCUGGCGUGGUCG